rnacentral:rRNA from 1 species
AUACGGAGGGUGCAAGCGUUACUCGGAAUCACUGGGCGUAAAGCGCGCGCAGGCGGAUCGUUAAGUCAGGGGUGAAAGCCCGGAGCUCAACUCCGGAACUGCCCUUGAUACUGGCGAUCUCGAGUCCGGGAGAGGUGAGCGGAAUUCCUAGUGUAGAGGUGAAAUUCGUAGAUAUUAGGAGGAACACCAGUGGCGAAGGCGGCUCACUGGCCCGGUACUGACGCUGAGGUGCGAAAGCGUGGGGAGCAAACAGGAUUAGAUACCCUAGUAGUCC